UACGGCCAUAUCACAUUGAAAUAUCGGUUCUCGUCAGAUCACCGAAGUUAAGCAACGUCGAGUCUGGUGGGUAUCUAGAUGGGUGACCGCUUGGGAAUACCAGGUGCUGUAA